AUUGAACGCUGGCGGCAUGCCUUACACAUGUAAGUCGAACGGCAGCACGGGAGCAAUCCUGGUGGCGAGUGGCGAACGGGUGAGUAAAGUAUCGGAACGUGCCCAGUCGUGGGGGAUAACGUAGCGAAAGUUACGCUAAUACCGCAUACGAUCUAUGGAUGAAAGCGGGGGAUCGCAAGACCUCGCGCGAUUGGAGCGGCCGAUAUCAGAUUAGGUAGUUGGUGGGGUAAAGGCUCACCAAGCCGACGAUCUGUAGCUGGUCUGAGAGGACGACCAGCCACACUGGGACUGAGACACGGCCCAGACUCCUACGGGAGGCAGCAGUGGGGAAUUUUGGACAAUGGGCGAAAGCCUGAUCCAGCCAUGCCGCGUGCAGGAUGAAGGCCUUCGGGUUGUAAACUGCUUUUGUACGGAACGAAAAGGUUUGGCCUAAUAAGCUGAGCUCAUGACGGUACCGUAAGAAUAGGCACCGGCUAACUACGUGCCAGCCGCCGCAGUAA
rnacentral:rRNA from 1 species